GGGUUGUGAGGUUAAGCGAAUAAGCGUACACGGUGGAUGCCUAGGCAAUCAGAGGCGAUGAAGGACGUGCUAAUCUGCGAAAAGCGUCGGUAAGGUGAUAUGAACCGUUAUACCCGACGAUAUCCGAAUGGGGAAACCCAGUAUCCAAUGGAUACUAUCAUUAACUGAAUCCAUAGGUUAAUGAGGCGAACCGGGAGAACUGAAACAUCUCAGUACCCCGAGGAAAAGAAAUCAACCGAGAUUCCCCUAGUAGCGGCGAGCGAACGGGGAGCAGCCCAGAGUCUUAAUCAAUAACAGUAUCAGGAGAACGGUCUGGAAAGUCCGGCAGUAAAGGGUGAUAGCCCCGUAUCUGAAGAUGCUGUUGUUGUGAACUCGACGAGUAGGGCGGGACACGUGUUAUCCUGUCUGAAUAUGGGGGGACCAUCCUCCAAGGCUAAAUACUCCUGAUUGACCGAUAGUGAACCAGUACCGUGAGGGAAAGGCGAAAAGAACCCCGGCGAGGGGAGUGAAAAAGAACCUGAAACCGUGUACGUACAAGCAGUAGGAGCCUCUUUAUGGGGUGACUGCGUACCUUUUGUAUAAUGGGUCAGCGACUUAUAUUCUGUAGCAAGGUUAACCGUAUAGGGGAGCCGUAGGGAAACCGAGUCUUAACUGGGCGAAUGAGUUGCAGGGUAUAGACCCGAAACCCGGUGAUCUAUCCAUGGGCAGGUUGAAGGUUGGGUAACACUAACUGGAGGACCGAACCGACUAAUGUUGAAAAAUUAGCGGAUGACUUGUGGAUGGGGGUGAAAGGCCAAUCAAACCGGGAGAUAGCUGGUUCUCCCCGAAAGCUAUUUAGGUAGCGCCUCGUGAACUCAUCUUCGGGGGUAGAGCACUGUUUCGACUAGGGGGUCAUCCCGACUUACCAACUCGAUGCAAACUGCGAAUACCGAAGAAUGUUAUCACGGGAGACACACGGCGGGUGCUAACGUCCGUCGUGAAGAGGGAAACAACCCAGACCGCCAGCUAAGGUCCCAAAGUCAUGGUUAAGUGGGAAACGAAGUGGGAAGGCUCAGACAGCCAGGAUGUUGGCUUAGAAGCAGCCAUCAUUUAAAGAAAGCGUAAUAGCUCACUGGUCGAGUCGGCCCGCGCGGAAGAUGUAACGGGGCUAAACCAUGCACCGAAGCUGCGGCAGCGACACGUAGUGUUGUUGGGUAGGGGAGCGUUCUGUAAGCCUGCGAAGGUGUACUGUGAGGUAUGCUGGAGGUAUCAGAAGUGCGAAUGCUGACAUAAGUAACGAUAAUGCGGGUGAAAAACCCGCACGCCGGAAGACCAAGGGUUCCUGUCCAACGUUAAUCGGGGCAGGGUGAGUCGACCCCUAAGGCGAGGCUGAAAAGCGUAGUCGAUGGGAAACGGGUUAAUAUUCCCGUACUGGUGGUAACUGCGAUGGGGGAACGGAGAAGGCUAGGUUGUCCGGGCGACGGUCGUCCCGGUUCAAGCAGGUAGGCAGAGUGAUUAGGCAAAUCCGGUCACUUAAUGCUGAGAUGUGAUGACGAACCACCAAGGUGGUGAAGCAAUUGAUGCCCCGCUUCCAGGAAAAGCCUCUAAGCUUCAGGUUACCAACAAUCGUACCCCAAACCGACACAGGUGGUCAGGUAGAGAAUACUCAGGCGCUUGAGAGAACUCGGGUGAAGGAACUAGGCAAAAUGGUGCCGUAACUUCGGGAGAAGGCACGCUGGCGGUAGGUAAAGUCCCUCGCGGACGGCGCCCAAGCCAGUCGAAGAUACCAGCUGGCUGCAACUGUUUAUUAAAAACACAGCACUGUGCAAACACGAAAGUGGACGUAUACGGUGUGACGCCUGCCCGGUGCUGGAAGGUUAAUUGAUGGGGUCAGCCGUAAGGCGAAGCUCCUGAUCGAAGCCCCAGUAAACGGCGGCCGUAACUAUAACGGUCCUAAGGUAGCGAAAUUCCUUGUCGGGUAAGUUCCGACCUGCACGAAUGGCGUAAUGAUGGCCAGGCUGUCUCCACCCGAGACUCAGUGAAAUUGAACUCGCUGUGAAGAUGCAGUGUACCCGCGGCAAGACGGAAAGACCCCGUGAACCUUUACUAUAGCUUGACACUGAACAUUGAGCCUUGAUGUGUAGGAUAGGUGGGAGGCUUUGAAGUGUGGACGCCAGUCUGCAUGGAGCCAACCUUGAAAUACCACCCUUUAACGUUUGAUGUUCUAACCUAGGCCCAUAAACUGGGUCGGGGACCGUGUCUGGUGGGUAGUUUGACUGGGGCGGUCUCCUCCUAAAGAGUAACGGAGGAGCACGAAGGUUGGCUAAGCAUGGUCGGACAUCAUGCGGUUAGUGCAAAGGCAUAAGCCAGCUUGACUGCGAGAGUGACGGCUCGAGCAGGUACGAAAGUAGGUCUUAGUGAUCCGGUGGUUCUGAAUGGAAGGGCCAUCGCUCAACGGAUAAAAGGUACUCCGGGGAUAACAGGCUGAUACCGCCCAAGAGUUCAUAUCGACGGCGGUGUUUGGCACCUCGAUGUCGGCUCAUCACAUCCUGGGGCUGAAGUAGGUCCCAAGGGUAUGGCUGUUCGCCAUUUAAAGUGGUACGCGAGCUGGGUUUAGAACGUCGUGAGACAGUUCGGUCCCUAUCUGCCGUGGGCGUUGGAAGAUUGAGAGGGGUUGCUCCUAGUACGAGAGGACCGGAGUGAACGCACCACUGGUGUUCGGGUUGUCAUGCCAAUGGCAUUGCCCGGUAGCUAAGUGCGGAAGAGAUAACCGCUGAAAGCAUCUAAGCGGGAAACUUGCCUCGAGAUGAGUCUUCCCUGUCACUUUAAGUGACCUAAAGGAACGUUUAAGACUAAGACGUUGAUAGGCUGGGUGUGUAAGCGUAGCGAUACGUUGAGCUAACCAGUACUAAUGAACCGUGAGGCUUAACCUGACAACACCGAAAGUGUUUUG
rnacentral:rRNA from 1 species